rnacentral:rRNA from 1 species
CAAACUCCGAAUGCCAAUUAAUUUAACUUGGGAGUCAGAACAUGGGUGAUAAGGUCCGUGUUCGAAAGGGAAACAGCCCAGACCACCAGCUAAGGUCCCAAAAUAUAUGUUAAGUGGAAAAGGAUGUGGCGUUGCCCAGACAACUAGGAUGUUGGCUUAGAAGCAGCCAUCAUUUAAAGAGUGCGUAAUAGCUCACUAGUCGAGUGACACUGCGCCGAAAAUGUACCGGGGCUAAACAUAUUACCGAAGCUGUGGAUUGUCCUUUGGACAAUGGUAGGAGAGCGUUCUAAGGGCGUUGAAGCAUGAUCGUAAGGACAUGUGGAGCGCUUAGAAGUGAGAAUGCCGGUGUGAGUAGCGAAAGACGGGUGAGAAUCCCGUCCACCGAUUGACUAAGGUUUCCAGAGGAAGGCUCGUCCGCUCUGGGUUAGUCGGGUCCUAAGCUGAGGCCGACAGGCGUAGGCGAUGGAUAACAGGUUGAUAUUCCUGUACCACCUAUAAUCGUUUUAAUCGAUGGGGGGACGCAGUAGGAUAGGCGAAGCGUGCGAUUGGAUUGCACGUCUAAGCAGUAAGGCUGAGUAUUAGGCAAAUCCGGUACUCGUUAAGGCUGAGCUGUGAUGGGGAG